rnacentral:lncRNA from 1 species
CUUUAUAUAAUAGCAGCCCAGACAUAUAGCUGUCUGGUUUGUUUCCUCCUUUUCUUCUCACAUUUAAUUUUACGUCUUUUAUUCUUCUCAAAUGCCAUAUCUGAGCUGGCCUUGAAUUAUAUUCACUAGCAAUUUGCUGUCUUAAUUACUUUCAAAAUCUUAUAUAAAUGAAGAACAAGGAACGCUUUUUUCCAAGAACCAACACUAUCAUGGUACUAGUUAAGGUUUUUCUUGUUCUUAUUAUACUAACGCCAGCCGUGUUUAUACCGUCAGCAGAGGCGAUUAAAGGCGGUAUAGGAGGGGGAGGACGCGGAGGAGGAGGAGGUUAUCGAGGAUUCACAGGGCGGAAAGCUGGUGGUGAUCCGAAGAAACAACAUUCAAGUGCUUUAUCUUACUCUAAGCUUCCUUCAAGCACUCUCCUUAUUCACAUCCUUAUCGCCUUCUUUUGGAUGUAAGUAAAGGCGAAUUCACGAUCUAAAGUCAGUAUGUAGUCAAUGUGUCGAGUGAAUGUAAUUUUUCAAUAUUCAUAGACGGAUCUAGAGGGACAAACCCAUUGGUUUUGUCUCGAUGAAUAUGCAAAAAAGAAAAAACAAUUUAAAAUGUAUAUAUGGAAUGAAUUUUGCUCAUACUGAAUAUAGUGACUCUAGAUCUCGACUUCGUUUCUCAUU